AACGCUAGCUACAGGCUUAACACAUGCAAGUCGAGGGGCAGCAUGGUCUUAGCUUGCUAAGGCCGAUGGCGACCGGCGCACGGGUGAGUAACACGUAUCCAACCUGCCGUCUACUCUUGGACAGCCUUCUGAAAGGAAGAUUAAUACAAGAUGGCAUCAUGAGUCCACAUGUUCACAUGAUUAAAGGUAUUCCGGUAGACGAUGGGGAUGCGUUCCAUUAGAUAGUAGGCGGGGUAACGGCCCACCUAGUCUUCGAUGGAUAGGGGUUCUGAGAGGAAGGUCCCCCACAUUGGAACUGAGACACGGUCCAAACUCCUACGGGAGGCAGCAGUGAGGAAUAUUGGUCAAUGGGCGAGAGCCUGAACCAGCCAAGUAGCGUGAAGGAUGACUGCCCUAUGGGUUGUAAACUUCUUUUAUAAAGGAAUAAAGUCGGGUAUGCAUACCCGUUUGCAUGUACUUUAUGAAUAAGGAUCGGCUAACUCCGUGCCAGCAGCCGCGGUAAUACGGAGGAUCCGAGCGUUAUCCGGAUUUAUUGGGUUUAAAGGGAGCGUAGAUGGAUGUUUAAGUCAGUUGUGAAAGUUUGCGGCUCAACCGUAAAAUUGCAGUUGAUACUGGAUAUCUUGAGUGCAGUUGAGGCAGGCGGAAUUCGUGGUGUAGCGGUGAAAUGCUUAGAUAUCACGAAGAACUCCGAUUGCGAAGGCAGCCUGCUAAGCUGCAACUGACAUUGAGGCUCGAAAGUGUGGGUAUCAAACAGGAUUAGAUACCCUGGUAGUCCACACGGUAAACGAUGAAUACUCGCUGUUUGCGAUAUACAGCAAGCGGCCAAGCGAAAGCGUUAAGUAUUCCACCUGGGGAGUACGCCGGCAACGGUGAAACUCAAAGGAAUUGACGGGGGCCCGCACAAGCGGAGGAACAUGUGGUUUAAUUCGAUGAUACGCGAGGAACCUUACCCGGGCUUAAAUUGCAGAUGAAUUACGGUGAAAGCCGUAAGCCGCAAGGCAUCUGUGAAGGUGCUGCAUGGUUGUCGUCAGCUCGUGCCGUGAGGUGUCGGCUUAAGUGCCAUAACGAGCGCAACCCUUGUUGUCAGUUACUAACAGGUUCUGCUGAGGACUCUGACAAGACUGCCAUCGUAAGAUGUGAGGAAGGUGGGGAUGACGUCAAAUCAGCACGGCCCUUACGUCCGGGGCUACACACGUGUUACAAUGGGGGGUACAGAGGGCCGCUACCACGCGAGUGGAUGCCAAUCCCAAAAACCUCUCUCAGUUCGGACUGGAGUCUGCAACCCGACUCCACGAAGCUGGAUUCGCUAGUAAUCGCGCAUCAGCCACGGCGCGGUGAAUACGUUCCCGGGCCUUGUACACACCGCCCGUCAAGCCAUGGGAGCCGGGGGUACCUGAAGUGCGUAACCGCGAGGAGCGCCCUAGGGUAAAACUGAUGACU
rnacentral:rRNA from 1 species